CCUACGGGGGGCAGCAGUGGGGAAUAUUGGACAAUGGGCGAAAGCCUGAUCCAGCCAUGCCGCGUGUGUGAAGAAGGCCUUCGGGUUGUAAAGCACUUUCAGUGGGGAAGAAAGCCUUGGGGCUAAUACCCUCGAGGAAGGACAUCACCCACAGAAGAAGCACCGGCUAACUCCGUGCCAGCAGCCGCGGUAAUACGGAGGGUGCGAGCGUUAAUCGGAAUUACUGGGCGUAAAGCGCGCGUAGGCGGUCUGAUAAGCCGGUUGUGAAAGCCCCGGGCUCAACCUGGGAACGGCAUCCGGAACUGGCAGGCUAGAGUGCGGGAGAGGAAGGUAGAAUUCCCGGUGUAGCGGUGAAAUGCGUAGAGAUCGGGAGGAAUACCAGUGGCGAAGGCGGCCUUCUGGACUGACACUGACGCUGAGGUGCGAAAGCGUGGGUAGCAAACAGGAUUAGAUACCCCUGUAGUC
rnacentral:rRNA from 1 species